rnacentral:tRNA from 1 species
GGGCUUUUAGCUCAGAUGGUUUAGAGCGCACGCCUGAUAAGCGUGAGGUCCCUGGUUCAAUUCCAGGAAGGCCCACCA